rnacentral:rRNA from 1 species
UGGGGAAUAUUGCACAAUGGGCGCAAGCCUGAUGCAGCCAUGCCGCGUGUAUGAAGAAGGCCUUCGGGUUGUAAAGUACUUUCAGCGGGGAGGAAGGGAGUAAAGUUAAUACCUUUGCUCAUUGACGUUACCCGCAGAAGAAGCACCGGCUAACUCCGUGCCAGCAGCCGCGGUAAUACGGAGGGUGCAAGCGUUAAUCGGAAUUACUGGGCGUAAAGCGCACGCAGGCGGUUUGUUAAGUCAGAUGUGAAAUCCUCGGGCUCAACCUGGGAACUGCAUCUGAUACUGGCAAGCUUGAGUCUAGUAGAGGGGGGUAGAAUUCCAGGUGUAGCGGUGAAAUGCGUAGAGAUCUUGAGGAAUACCGGUGGCGAAGGCGGCCCCCUGGACGAAGACUGACGCUCAGGUGCGAAAGCGUGGGGAGCAAACAGG